rnacentral:lncRNA from 1 species
UCCCGACACAAUUAAAUAUACAACUCAUAACUUUUGUUAUUUGAUACAUCAUUAUUAAUCCACAUUUAAUUUUCAAUCAUCUAGCAUUUUCAUGUGCUUGAAUAUUUAUGGAAAGAACUAUUUUACCAUGUCAACCCAGUUAAUCUAUAGUCUUUCCAUACUUUUAGAGACAUACCAUUCAUUGAACUGGUCUCCAUACUUUCAGUGGCUACUUUUCUUCUAGUAACUAAGAUGAUCAUCUACAAAUAUGUGGACCUUGUAGUUAAUUACAAGAGUCCUUUAACAAUAUCAAGAGAUAACCUUCUGUAUUCAUAUGAACUCACCGUCAUCCACUACCUCACCCCUGAUACACCUCGAACAUAAAGCAAGUCCAUUCGUUGUCUCCAGAA